CCUAUGACGUUUUUGUCAGAGGGGAGUAACUUGUUUAACGUGUAGACGUUAAAAGCGCUUUGUCGUCAUUACGAAGAGAUAUCUUCCGGUGAAGCGGGCAAUGUAAAUGCUAAGUGAGACCUUUGCU
rnacentral:sRNA from 2 species